rnacentral:rRNA from 1 species
UACGAAGGGGGCUAGCGUUGCUCGGAAUCACUGGGCGUAAAGCGCACGUAGGCGGAUUGUUAAGUCAGGGGUGAAAUCCUGGAGCUCAACUCCAGAACUGCCUUUGAUACUGGCGAUCUCGAGUCCGGGAGAGGUGAGUGGAACUGCGAGUGUAGAGGUGAAAUUCGUAGAUAUUCGCAAGAACACCAGUGGCGAAGGCGGCUCAUUGGCCCGGUACAGACGCUGAGGUGCGAAAGCGUGGGGAGCAAACAGG